UCCAGAGAGCAUUUGGAGGCUUGAGAUCUCUCAGACCUGGAAGGACUCUUCCUAUAGAAAUAAUACAGGAUGCUCAGUUAAACUAGAACUCUGGAUAAACAAAUGCUUUCCUGCCCCUUGAGACUGAAUAAUUCGUUGCUGCGAAUUUUCUUCCACACAUUGAGGGAAGGAAUGAUUGAAGCUAACUCCUCAAACAGACUUCUGCCCAGAUGCACAGUACGUGUUGCCAAAGCCACAUGGUCAUCCCAUGGAUGUGAAAGGUCCUGUGGUCUUCAUGCUAUGGAUACUUAUGAAAAGACAGCAAAUGUGUAUCAAAUGGUGAAAAAUAUGUAAUAGGCAAUAUGCAUUUAUUCCACAAACCCAAUUCUCGAGGAAAACAUUCUUUGGCAAGCAGUCAAACAAUUUUAAUGUAAAAUUUAAUGCAAUAGGGGUGACAUAUUUUAGAACAAAUUAAUUAGAUUAGUGAAGUGAAAUGGCCUGAGUCAGAACAAAUAAAAUGAGCUGCAUAACAUGAGGCACUUUGCAAUAAUUCUUAGGCUAUCAAUUCUGUUACUUAGCAAUUUGAAUUCUAUUCAGAUCAUCGAAAAUUAUAUAAAACCAAUUCCUGUUUCUUCUGGUUGAUUACAUAAAAAUACAACAAUUUCCAUUUAUCUGGAAAAUG